rnacentral:rRNA from 1 species
GAGUUUGAUCCUGGCUCAGGACGAACGCUGGCGGCGUGCUUAACACAUGCAAGUCGAGCGGUAAGGCUCCUUCGGGAGUACACGAGCGGCGAACGGGUGAGUAACACGUGAGCAAUCUGCCCUUCACAUUGGGAUAACCCUCGGAAACGAGAGCUAAUACCGGAUACAACCACUGGCGGCAUCGCCUGGUGGUGGAAAGUUCCGGCGGUGGAGGAUGAGCUCGCGGCCUAUCAGCUUGUUGGUGGGGUAACGGCCCACCAAGGCGACGACGGGUAGCCGGCCUGAGAGGGUGACCGGCCACACUGGGACUGAGACACGGCCCAGACUCCUACGGGAGGCAGCAGUGGGGAAUAUUGCGCAAUGGGCGAAAGCCUGACGCAGCGACGCCGCGUGUGGGAUGAAGCAUUUCGGUGUGUAAACCACUGUUGCCCGGGACGAACAGCUUCUUUCGAGGAGCCUGACGGUACCGGGUGAGGAAGCACCGGCUAACUCCGUGCCAGCAGCCGCGGUA